rnacentral:rRNA from 1 species
AAUGAACGCUGGCGGCGUGCCUUACACAUGCAAGUCGAGCGAGGCGGCCCGCAAGGGUCAGUCGAGCGGCGGACGGGUGAGUAACGCGUGGAUAACCUGCCCAGAGGUGGGGGAUAACCCGGGGAAACUCGGGCUAAUACCGCAUGAUACCGAGAGGUCAAAGGGGGCUCGCAAGAGCUCUCGCCAUUGGAGGGGUCCGCGUCCGAUUAGCUAGUUGGUAGGGUAAUGGCCACCAAGGCGACGAUCGGUAGCCGGCCUGAGAGGGUGAUCGGCCACACUGGAACUGAGACACGGUCCAGACUCCUACGGGAGGCAGCAGUGGGGAAUUUUGCGCAAUGGGCUAACGCCUGACGCAGCAACGCCGCGUGGAGGAUGAA